GUUCUGGAAGCUUUCCUUCUAAUUUUACUUCUUUUCUAAUACAGCCUUAUUUUGUCUGUGAUCUUUUGUACAGCAUUUUUUAGGUUAAGAUGAAGAUUGAUUCAAACACAUAUUUAUGGUGAAUAGUAAUUCUUUUAUUUUGACAUCUAUUUUUCCUAUUUAGUGACAAUGUGAAGGUCAUGAUUUCGUUUACAUGAGACAUAAUGUUUUUUAUUUUGUUAGCACCUAUAUUCUAUGGAAAUUGGAAUUAUGAAUUAGAUGAAGACAUCGUAAAAAGAUCAUUUUACAUGACAUUUGAGAGUUAUUAAUAUAUACCUUUUGUGUUUAUCUGCUUAAAAAAUAAAAAUGUCUUUGAUGUUACCUUCAAAUUGAAAUUGUAUAUUAUUUUCUAUCUUGUCAAGAAUAUUAAGGUUGUCAUAUGUUUUAUGGCAUGCAAUUUGGAUGAAGAUGCUUUGAUUCAUUCAUAAUGAAUUGGCUCUCUGGAAUCCUUUUUGAUUGUAUUUUACCUAUAGAAGCAAAAGUUGGGAAUGAAGCACAAUUAUGUUAUUAACCAUGUUAAUCAGCACCUGGAGCUGGGCUGUGCCUGGGUGUUUUUGGAAAAGAAUUGCGGCUUGUUGAAUAAACUGCAUUUUCAUGCUUUUAGAAGUUAAAGACUGCUCUUUUUUAGGUUUACAGUAAAAUUUCUCAUCAAUUUCCCAUUUUUAACCUGUAUAAUUGAAUUCCAAUUACACUUUCAGUUUGCUGUGUAAAUGUAAUGCAACAACGAUUGAAUCUGUUAGAUGUUGUUGAUAAAGACAAUUUCCAUAGUUUAUGUUUUCAUCCUUCAGAGAGUAGUUUUGUUCCCUAUCAAUCUUGCUAAGUAUAUGACUGCAGUUAUUAGAAAUUGUGCCUCUGAUAUUGAUUAUCCUCAUGUGGCCAUUGUCUUGUGGGUUCCGUUUGAGUGUAGUUUCAAGUAUUGUCAACACAAGUCCUCUAGGUAUGGCUGUCUUUUUGUAAGGUUGUACUUAUUAUAGCUAUUCCUAUAAUAGUUUGUGGCCUAAACGAUGGUUUAGUUGUAGACAGAUGUCAAACUGUUGAUGCAAGGAUGCAUUUCAGAAAUUUAGUGGUCUACAGAUGUCAGAAGAUGCUAGAUGAAGAUUCUUGGGUCCUACUUGACAUGUUAGAAGAUUAGGAGGAAGACUAAGCACUUAAUUAGGUAAUUGGUGUACAAGAGUGGUUAGGAGACCAAUCAUUUGAUUAAUGUAACUGACAUAGAAGAGUAGUUGAAAGAUUAACUGCCUUCUUUUUUAGGUUUACGGUAAAAUUCCCCAUUUUUAACCUGUAUAAUUGAAUUCCAUUUACACUUUCAGUUUUCUGUGUAAAUGUAAUGCAACACCGAUUUUACCUGUUAGAUGUUGUUGAUAAAGACAAUUCCCAUGGUUUAUAUUUUCAUCCUUCAGAGAGUAGUUUUGUUUCCUAUCAGUAUAUCUUGCUAAAUAUAUGACUGCAGUUAUUAGAAAUUGUGCCUCUAAUAUUGAUUAUCCUCAUGUGGCCAUUGUCUUCUGGGUUCCAUUUAAGUGUAGUUUCAAGUAUUGUCAACACAAGUCUUCUAGGUAUGGCUGUCUUUUUUUAAGGUUGUACUUAUUAUAGCUAUUCCUAUAAUAGUUUGUGGCCUAAACGAUGGUUCAGUGGUAGACAAGAUGUCAAACUGUUGAUGCAAGGAUGCAUUUCAGAAAUUUAGGGGUCUACAGAUGUCAGAAGAUUAUAGAUGAAGAUUCUUGGGUCCUACUUGACAUGUUAGAAGAUUAGUAGGAAGACUAAGCACUUAAGUAGGUAAUUGGUGUACAAGAGUGAUUAGGAGACCAAUCAUUUGAUCAAUAUAACUGACAUAGAAGAGUAUUUGAAAGAUUAACUGCCUUGGAAUUACAACUGAUACACUGAAAUUGUAACCAACACAUUAAGGUGCAUUUUGAAACCAUUUUGGGAACAGCCAACAGAGAGAGACUGGUGUUGGUAGAGUAUCAUAAUUUUGUUUUUGAGUAGGAAAAGUGAUGAGCAAAGUUCCCAUAUACAUCUCCUCUCUUGUGUACAUACAUGAUCCUUGUAACAGAUACUAGAUGUGAAUACAAUAUUCCUGGAUAUGGCAUGGCUAUCGUAUCCAUACAUAUCCAAAUACAAGCCCAUACUUGGUCCAUAUUUGAGAUUUCUGGAUUUGGAAUCAUGUUGUAUUGUGCUAUUUUGGUUUAGGGUUUAUGAAAAUGCAUUCAAAAAGUUGCAACAAAGAACUUAAAAAAGUUGUCCACACACAUAUAUAUUCAAAUCACUAAAGACACAAACAUAUUGAAAGAAAAUGAAUAUAUAUAUAUAUAUAUAUAACAAUUUUCAAAGUUAUGUUCUAUACUAUGUUGCAGGUUUUGUUUCAGCUGUUUGCUGUUUCUUUUUACUGGGUUCAGUAUGUCGUGUAUUUGCACAAAAUACACAAAAUUAUAUACAAAAGAUAACCACUAAUUGUCAGAUGUUACAGAUAAAUCAAAAAGGUUUAUACUAGUGCCAGUGCAUAUGGAAAAUUAAUGCAAAUCAUCAUAUCGCUCUUCAUUGAGAGCAAGAUAACCACUAAUUGUCAGAUGUUACAGAUAAAUCAAAAAGGUUUAUACUAGUGCCAGUGCAUAUGGAAAAUUAAUGCAAAUCAUCAUAUCGCUCUUCAUUGAGAGCAUCUAAGUCAUUAGCUGGUCCAUUGGAACUAUAAACAGUGCUAUUAAUACUCCCACUAGCUGCACUAUGUGAGUUUUGUUGUGGCAAUCUUGUGGUCUGCAUCCUCAAUCAAGACUAAAAAAAGCUGUUUGUGAGGGUUUUUAAAACUAUUUUGUAACACUUUUUUCAUUAAUAGUAUCAGUGCUUGGUCUGGACCAGUCUGUAUUUGGCCAUGAUUCUUGCAAAACUUGGUAAAAGACGUUUGACAGAUUAGACCCUUUGAUGUAUCAAUGGUUGAAAUAAGCAUACUUUUAUCUGAUACUGUAUACAUAUCUGAUACCGUUUCUGUAUCCAAUACCAUUUCUGUUUCCUGCAACUCUCGUGACAAGACAUGGGGCCUGUGCUGGCCAUUUUUCAUUUUCUCAGUCUUUUAUACCUAGCAUGUUUCACCUUAAAAACAUUUGUGUCAAAUUGGUUGUGUGUUCUGGCCUUUUUUGGGCUUCCUUUUUAAAAUUAAAAUUUUAUUUUUAUCAAUUUGUCAAUUUUGUGUUAGGCAAGCAUUAUCAUUUCUUGCACAAGUUUAUAAAAACAUUGAAAACGCAUUUGAGUAAUCUAAAAUUAUGUCAAGAUCUGUUGGAUCAGUAGAUCAAACCAAUAACGUUGGCCAUUAGAUAUUUGUAUUUGAGUUUUGAUUGUCAAAAAUAAUUCUCUUCAAUCUGAAGGUAAGUGAUAACAUAAGACGGAAUACUGGUAUUAUCUCAUUGAUUCCCUUCAGUGUUCUAUUAAUUUAGGGGGCAUAAAUGUUGUUCUGGUAGUUAAUGGCCUUGAAAAGUAUGCAUCUUUUUGUGAAUCUUGGAAACAUGUUCAUUGGCUUCGAUAAAAAAGAAAAGGUUUAUUGCUUAUAAUUUAAAAACCUUCCAAUUUAGGUGAUUAGUUUUUAUCAACUUGUAAAACCACUAAAAAAUGGGCUUGAUGGAAUAUUUUCAUAGCUGUACUCAGUGGUUUGCCAGAAACUCUUACCAUAUCCAUAGUAGUUGUAAGCUGUCGUUCAGUGGCAUGGACAUAUAGAACUCCUAUUGGUUUUCAAAUAAUUAGGUAGCUUUACCAUGCUGUUGAGAGCUAAUUUUGUGUAUUCAACCUCCCAAUACUAAACUUUACCGUUAACCACGGUAGGUAGUAGACACCAGUUUGGCACAUGGUAGGUAGUAGACACCAACAUAUUAAACCCUACUAGAUUUUCCUUUCUCCCCUAGUGAUCAUGGUCAGAAAGAAAUAUGGAUCCUUGAGAUUGUGUGUAUUAUAGAGGUCUCAACCAAAUCACGCACAAAGAUAAGUUUCUGUUACCUUUUAGUGAUGAGUUAAAAAAAAUUUAAAAUUAAUAAAUAAAUUAAAAAGCAUAUUUUAAUAAACUUUAUUAAAUAUAUAAAAAUAAAUCUAGAUAAACUUUAUGGUGUUUAAAAAAUAAUAAUAUGGAAGCCCUGUGGGUUAAAAAUACUAUGGAAGCAGCGAGAACGAAACACAGGGAGAGCACAUAUCGGCCCGUGGGUCAAAAAUACUAUGGAAGCCGCGAGAACAAAACACAGGGAGAGCACAUAUCGGAGAGCAGAGAAUGGAGGUAUCAAAAAUGGCAAAGAAUGGAUUGCAGAACAGAGGGAUCAAAAAGGACAGAGAAUGGAUUGAAUAUUCACAUGAGCCAGCAGGGCUGAAUCCAGAGCAUACCUAGAACCGGAGCAGGAUUGCAUCCGAACCCCCAUCAAACCCGGCCCUGCACCCAGAGCCUAAGCCACAAAACCGUAUUUGAAUUACUUGUGAGCCAAUGAAGGAGCUAAGGUGAUACCACAAGAGAUAAAGACAGUAGUUGAGUGGCUCUUGGCAAAAGAUAUGAAGGGCCUUGGAGGAUUGAUUGGUCUGUCAGAUGGCAGAAUGCAUUUCAAGAAUUGUAGUCUGGGCAUUUUCUGGGGAUGGCAGUCUCACAGUAUAAUUUCUUUCCUUCUAAAAACAUAUCGUGAAAUUUGAGGUAACC